rnacentral:lncRNA from 1 species
ACCCAUCUCUAUUGGAUCCUAUAUUGGGAAUGUCAAGAAAAUAAUAAAAUGAGAUUUUUACCAAUAAUCUAUGGUUCUUUUUCUAUCAUAUUUUAGACCAAAUUAAUAUUAUGCUAAUUUACAAAAUAGGUGACAUAACAUCUUAUAUCUAUCAGUUUGAAUAUGUCAUUAUCCUUAUAGCCUUCUCCUUUUAAGUAUAUCUCCCUUAUGAAAACCAAUUCUUCAUUUACAUUUUUAGUUUUUUGUAAAUUCUUGAUAUUUUUUCCCCUUCAUUUUCCUAUCUCUUAUUUUUUUCCUUCUUCUAUCUUUUUCUCUUAAUCCAAACUCUCAUC